AUUGAACGCUGGCGGCAGGCUUAACACAUGCAAGUCGAGCGGGGUGAUGGUGCUUGCACUAUCACUUAGCGGCGGACGGGUGAGUAAUGCUUAGGAAUCUGCCUAUUAGUGGGGGACAACAUCUCGAAAGGGAUGCUAAUACCGCAUACGUCCUACGGGAGAAAGCAGGGGAUCACUUGUGACCUUGCGCUAAUAGAUGAGCCUAAGUCGGAUUAGCUAGUUGGUGGGGUAAAGGCCUACCAAGGCGACGAUCUGUAGCGGGUCUGAGAGGAUGAGCCGCCACACUGGGACUGAGACACGGCCCAGACUCCUACGGGAGGCAGCAGUGGGGAAUAUUGGACAAUGGGGGGAACCCUGAUCCAGCCAUGCCGCGUGUGUGAAGAAGGCCUUAUGGUUGUAAAGCACUUUAAGCGAGGAGGAGGCUCUUUUGGUUAAUACCCAAGAUGAGUGGACGUUACUCGCAGAAUAAGCACCGGCUAACUCUGUGCCAGCAGCCGCGGUAA
rnacentral:rRNA from 1 species